CUGAACUAGCCGACGGACUGGUAAAGAUGACGCAAAUUUUAGCAGUUUAAAUUAACAUUAGAAAUAUAUUAAAGUGAGUUAGUUUCCAAACUUCCGGUUAACUGCCCAAUUUAGCUAGCUAUCCAGCUGCUAGCUAGCUACCUAUUAACGCGUGGGCAUACACGGCGGAUAUGCCACAUUCUCAUUGCAUGUGAUUUCGCAGACACCAAUACAUUAAACACAAUGUGCUUCUUCAGCUCUGUUGUGCUAUUGAGAGAGGGAUAAGAAGAGGCAAGGAGUGAGGGGGAGGAGAAGGAGGCAUUGUCUCUAAGGAGAGUCUGAGUGUGGGAGAGAGGGGAUUUGAAAGAGCCUCUUAAAUUCAUACACUCAAAUGCACUCACACACAAGCCCUCCAGCUGAAGAGGUUCCACACUUGCCCUCUUGAGUUCUUGAGAAAGAAAAGGACAGAAGAAAAGCAGGAUGAGGACAGGCUCUGUCAAAUGGAUGAAAAAAGACGCUUCUCUCGUGCCCCCUCUCCAUCCUCCAUCCCCCAGAAAAGAGGGAGGGGGCAAUGGAAACAAUAUUCUGUCUAUCUCUCUUUUUCUUCUCCCCUCCAUCCUCCUUUUCAGGCUAUCCUUCUUUCAGUUCGUUGAUCCCACGCUAUCUCUAAUCUCCUUUCUUCAGUUAAGUCUCAUCAGCCUCUUUCAGGCAGAGAAGGGACCUGUUGGAUAUGGCGAGAAAUAAAUUUAGGCAUUUCAUUGCGUUAUGGCUAAACACAAUAAAACUAUUUGGACUAUAGUUUCUAUCUACUAUAAUGUGUGUGU